UUUAAUAUGAAUAAUACCUAAAUGUGAUGUUUAGUGCUUAGCUGCUCUCUUAACACCAGCAAAAAGUCGAGGCUAUAAAUAACCUAAAUUUACCUCCCCCCUUAGCUUUAUUUACGGCCCUGCCCACCUGCUUCCUCAGGAGGCCACAGUGGACAAUAAUAAUUGACCAAAUGUAUUUCAACAUUUGCUUUGGGUACAACAAACAAUGUGACUUGGAUUUUUCUUAAUUCACUUAGGGGUGUCAGCUACUAGCCUCAUCUCAGCACUGCACUAAAAUGGAACUAGAAGAGGCUACCUGGAUUGUGAACAAGCUAUUCCUCCAUUCCAUCCAAAAUUAACUUGAAUUCUCAGGACUGGACCCAAUUUUGUUUGAAAAAUGAAGCUUAUACAAUUCGAGAAGGUGUGAUGUUAAUAUACACAGUCAGCUUAGCAGGUGCAGCCCAUAAGAGCUGAAGUUCUUCUUUACAGCCCUUGUGGUCUCUACUGGUCAAGCAAAAGAAAAUGAACUGUUUGCGGAGCCCAAGAGACAAGUGAUUUGAAAGACUCGUCUUUACUAUACAAUGGAAAGAAGAUAAGAGCUGGAGGAGAAUGAGCAAAAAUAAAAAAAGAAGUGAUAGAUAGGAGGAAAAGAGAAAGAAGGAAUUACAAGACAGUCGUUAACUCAUAAUCAAGAUAAGCUGGAAUGAGAGCAAGUCUAUCUGAAUGCUCAGACUAUUCAAGAAGCAGAUGAGUGGAAAGCGCAACUCUACAAUUCCUGACCGAAAACUGCAUUUUCUUAUCUCAAACUGAAAAAAAAAAAGAUGUAGAGCAAGUUCAAGGAACAACAAAGUAUAUUACUGUUUCACCUUUAAGCUACUACUCAAAGCUGUCUAAUUUUUUUGGAACAUGCCAUUUUUAAAAGGCAAUAAAGCACUCCGCAACUUAUUGGAUAAUGGUCUAUAGUUCUGGUUUACCCAUCUUUACUACUGGAAGAUCCCUCUAAAUCACCUCCCCUUUUAAGAAUGGUUGGUGUCAUUAACUUAUAAUUCACAGGCCAGUAUAUUACAUAUUAAUUGAAAAUAUGAAUCAGGGAAAACUUUCCAAUAUUCUAUAAAAGGUAAAAUUUUAAUAAUUCUCAUAUGAACAUAUUUUGAAGGCCAUGAGUAUCACAAGUGUUUCUAAGGAACCUGAAAGAUGAAACAUUUCCCCCAGUUUACCAGAUCAAAGUAUUUUUCUUAAGACUUCAUUUAAUUCAUACUCUUGUACUUUUGUUGAUAUACCAAAUUCUGUCUGUUUUCUGUUGAUACUAACUUAUACUUCUUGUUGGUUUUAUCACUCAAAAAAUAAAGUUGUGCUUUCAUCACAGUAUUGGCUGGAAGUCUUUGAUACAUUAUUCAUUCAUGGCUCAGGGAGACAUCAUAGGGUUGAAGUAGUGUUCACUCAAUAGCCACAAAUGGAGUGUCAACAAAGCACCUUGGCUUUACUUGGCCAUUAAUUAGUGUCCUUCAGUCACUUGAUGAAGGUCACUGAGCUUCCAUGGCCCCAUAGAGAAUUCAUGUACCUGUAUACCUCAAUGCUUCUUAAAUUACUA